rnacentral:rRNA from 1 species
AACGAACGCUGGCGGCAUGCCUAACACAUGCAAGUCGAACGGGAUCCUGGCUUCGGUCAGGUGAGAGUGGCGGACGGGUGAGUAACGCGUGGGAACCUGCCCAGUGGUGGGGGAUAACUGCGGGAAACUGCAGCUAAUACCGCAUGAGCCCGAGAGGGGAAAGAUUUAUCGCCAUUGGAGGGGCCCGCGUUCGAUUAGGUAGUUGGUGAGGUAACGGCUCACCAAGCCGACGAUCGAUAGCUGGUCUGAGAGGAUGAUCAGCCACACUGGGACUGAGAUACGGCCCAGACUCCUACGGGAGGCAGCAGUGGGGGAAUAUUGGACAAUGGGCGAAAGCCUGAUCCAGCAAUGCCGCGUGAGUGAUGAAGCCUUAGGGUUGUAAAGCUACUUUUACCCCGGGAUGAUAAUGACAGUACCGGGAGAAUAAGCUCGGCUAACUCCGUAGCCAGCA